AGUGAACGCUGGCGGUAGGCCUAACACAUGCAAGUCGAACGGCAGCACAGUAAGAGCUUGCUCUUACGGGUGGCGAGUGGCGGACGGGUGAGGAAUACAUCGGAAUCUACUUUUUCGUGGGGGAUAACGUAGGGAAACUUACGCUAAUACCGCAUACGCCCUACGGGUGAAAGCAGGGGAUCUUCGGACCUUGCGCGAUUGAAUGAGCCGAUGUCGGAUUAGCUAGUUGGCGGGGUAAAGGCCCACCAAGGCGACGAUCCGUAGCUGGUCUGAGAGGAUGAUCAGCCACACUGGAACUGGGACACGGUCCAGACUCCUACGGGAGGCAGCAGUGGGGAAUAUUGGACAAUGGGCGCAAGCCUGAUCCAGCCAUACCGCGUGGGUGAAGAAGGCCUUCGGGUUGUAAAGCCCUUUUGUUGGGAAAGAAAAGCAGCAGGUUAAUACCCCGCUGUUCUGACGGUACCCAAAGAAUAAGCACCGGCUAACUUCGUG
rnacentral:rRNA from 1 species